UAUGCAGGGAUUGUGUGUAUCAGCGUAGUGCUUUAAUACAUGCACUUUGAUCUGAAAGAGUUCCCUGCAACAUGCUGAUGGGCAGAUGGGCAGUUGUAUUUCAUGCAACAUGCUGAAAUAUUCAACAAUCAUCUUCCCCAAAUUU